CAUUACCUAUUCUUGUGCUCCAGCUAUCUCGGUAGUCACUUACUGGAAAAUGGAUUACAGGCAUUCUCUAAGGCAUGAACAUGAUUUUGAAGAAAUCCUUUACCAUCACACAUCACACAAGCCUGCCUGUGCUCCUCCAGAAACGUAGCCCUAGUACUCCUGGAAGCCCAUUUUGUUCCUUCAGGGAGUAUGCUUUCUUUGUGCAGAGAGGAGAAAA
rnacentral:lncRNA from 1 species